GACAAGAACACGUGACUAUUCAGGUUCAACACCAGGUGUCACAAAUGCAACUAAUACACCAGAUAACAUCUACACAAAUGGUUCAACAACCCCCAUCAACUAUACAGAUUGUAG